CUGCCCUCAAGCACGGCUUGUGUUUGGGCCUUGUCCUCCCCCCGGGGGACAGGCCCGAAAGGCAGCGGCGGCACCGAGUCCGGUCCUCGAGCGUAUGGGGCUUUGUCACCCGCUUCGUAGGCCCGGCCGGCGCCAGCCGACAACCCAUCAUCCUUUUCA
rnacentral:misc_RNA from 1 species